CACGUAGUUAGCCGGUGCUUCUUCUGCAGGUACCGUCACUUUCGCUUCUUCCCUACUGAAAGAGGUUUACAACCCGAAGGCCGUCAUCCCUCACGCGGCGUCGCUGCAUCAGGCUUGCGCCCAUUGUGCAAUAUUCCCCACUGCUGCCUCCCAUAGGAGUCUGGGCCGUGUCUCAGUCCCAGUGUGGCCGGUCACCCUCUCAGGCCGGCUACCCGUCGUCGCCUUGGUGAGCCAUUACCUCACCAACAAGCUGAUAGGCCGCGAGUCCAUCCAAAACCGAUAAAUCUUUCCAACACCCACCAUGCGGUAGGCGCUCCUAUCCGGUAUUAGACCCAGUUUCCCAGGCUUAUCCCAGAGUUAAGGGCAGGUUACUCACGUGUUACUCACCCGUUCGCCACUAAUCCACCCAGCAAGCUGGGCUUCAUCGUUCGACUUGCAUGUGUUAAGCACGCCGCCAGCGUUCAUCCUGAGCCAGGAUCAAACUC
rnacentral:rRNA from 1 species